UACAGAGGUCUCAAGCGUUGUUCGGAUUCAUUGGGCAUAAAGGGUGCGUAGGUGGUUUGGUAAGUUGAAGGUGAAAUCUCGGAGCUUAACUCCGAAACUGCCUUCAAUACUGCCGGACUUGAGGACUGUAGAGGAGAAUGGAAUUCACGGUGUAGCAGUGAAAUGCGUAGAUAUCGUGAGGAAGACCAGUGGCGAAGGCGAUUCUCUGGGCAGUUCCUGACACUGAGGCACGAAGGCUAGGGGAGCAAACGGG
rnacentral:rRNA from 1 species